rnacentral:rRNA from 1 species
GAUGAACGCUGGCGGCGUGCCUAAUACAUGCAAGUCGAGCGAACAGACGAGGAGCUUGCUCCUCUGACGUUAGCGGCGGACGGGUGAGUAACACGUGGAUAACCUACCUAUAAGACUGGGAUAACUUCGGGAAACCGGAGCUAAUACCGGAUAAUAUAUUGAACCGCAUGGUUCAAUAGUGAAAGACGGUUUUGCUGUCACUUAUAGAUGGAUCCGCGCCGCAUUAGCUAGUUGGUAAGGUAACGGCUUACCAAGGCAACGAUGCGUAGCCGACCUGAGAGGGUGAUCGGCCACACUGGAACUGAGACACGGUCCAGACUCCUACGGGAGGCAGCAGUAGGGAAUCUUCCGCAAGGGGCGAAAGCCUGACGGAGCAACGCCGCGUGAGUGAUGAAGGUCUUCGGAUCGGAAAACUCUGUUAUUAGGGAAGAACAAAUGUGUAAGUAACUAUGCACGUCUUGACGGUACCUAAUCAGAAAGCCACGGCUAACUACG